CGCUUUUCAAAUGUCACACUGUAAAACACCAGUUAGAAAUGGAUGGGCUCUGAAUGAAGUUCUUCCCCACAGCCUGUCUACAACCUAGCAUAUCUUCAAGACACUUAAACAGCACAAAGGCCAGAAAUUCCAAUGUCACAGGGCUGUAGUAUCUGAGCAAUCUGAUGGCCAACGAGAAGACACAGCAGAGGUAACAGAAGAUGCACUGCCUUCGCCGUGCCUGCUCUAGAGAACCCCGAGAACAGUAAAGCCUGAGUCUCACAACAGAGGGGCUGAAGAGAUGACUCAGCAGUUGAGAAGACGCAGCUCUUCCAGAGGAUUCCCAGCACCCAUAUGGCUGCUUGCAACCACCUGGUCUUCCAAUGAAGGAGAACCCAAUGUCCUUUCUAGCCUCUGUAGGCCCCAGGCAUGCAGGUGGCACCCAGACAUAAAUCCAGGCAAAAUAUCCAUACAUGUGAUGUGAAGUAAAAUAAAACUUAAAAAUUAUAUUUAAUAAUCUACUAGCUG